rnacentral:rRNA from 1 species
CCUACGGGAGGCAGCAGUAGGGAAUCUUUCACAAUGGGCGAAAGUCUGAUGCAGCAACGUCGCGUGCAGGAUGAAGGCCCUCGGGGUGUAAACUGUUUUUUUAAGGGGGAAAUAUGGUGCUAACUGAUGAAUAUGGUUUGGCCAACUACGUGACAGAAGCCGCGGCCAUACGUAGGAUCCGAGCAUAAUCCGGAGUGACUGGGUGUAAAGAGUGGCGUAGGGGGGAUAAUAAGUAGCUAGGGAAAUCUGGUGGCUUAAACAGUCAGACUAUUAGCGAAACUGUUAGGCUCGAGACCGUUAGAGGUGACUGGAAUUCCUGGUGUAGGAGUGAAAUCCGUAGAUAUUAGAAGGAACACCAAUAGCGAAGGCAGGUUACUGGACCGGUUCUGACACUAAGGCACGAAAGCGUAGGGAGCAAACGGGAUUAGAUACCCCGGUAGUC